UUAUUACUAUUACCAUUGUAAUAAAUACCUAUUAUUUUUCAGGUGGGACUACCAAGAUGAAAAGAUAUACGCCUCAUUGUUACAACUUCAGGAAGUUUAUCGUGGGAGUCAAGUGUGCAAAUCAACAAUUGGCAUGCAACUUUCAAGAGUUAAUAAUGGACCUAAAAAAUCUUGAUUUAAAUCCGAAGACAAUGUAGAUAUUCAAGGGCUCAAAAGGAAACCGAGAAGGAAAACAAUCAGCUCUUUUUGCUCUGGGCUGAGAGAGUGAGCUGUAAUGAGGAAGCACACAAAUGCAUUGGGCGCCCUCAGACCUGAACACACAGGUUAGCACCACCUGCCUGGCUGACCCAGCUCACAGGUGCGCAGUUGCCAGGUAACGCUUGGGAUCUCAGGGUGCCUUCAGAAGCCCAGCAGUUGGCUUGGGGAGGU
rnacentral:lncRNA from 1 species